GUGAGUGUGUGAGUCAGUGAGUGUGUGAGUCAGUGAGUGUGUGAGUCAGUGAGUGAGUCAGUGAGUGAGUCAGUGAGUCAGUGAGUCAGUGAGUGAGUGAGUGAGUGAGUGAGUCAGUGAGUGACUCAGUGAGUGAGUGAGUGAGUGAGUGAGUCAGUGAGUGAGUGAGUCAGUGAGUGAGUGAGUGAGUCAGUGAGUGAGUCAGUGAGUCAGUGAGUGAGUGAGUCAGUGAGUCAGUGAGUGAGUGUGUGAGUGUGUGAUGCACUACCCGGCCACGGUUCAGCCUGCGCUCGUUCGCCCCUCUCUUAUAAACCACUGCUGUAAAGACUCUAGCCGACUGUAAUGUAAAUAUAUAGUAGAUUUGAAAUGAUAAAUGUUUCAGCCAUUAGAUUGUAUUUGUAUUUUUGUACAGGUGUGUGUGUGUGUGUGUGUGUGAGACGAGAGCCGAGCCUCUGCACUGCCUGCGCUGUCAGCUGUGUGUAGUGUGUAGUUCUCCAGAGACCCUGUUAUUCGAGAACUGCCUUACAACUCCAGCUCGCUCUUUCAUUCCCCCCGCCUCCGAUCCCGGCGGAGAAACACUGAGCCUUUCCUGUCCAGUGCCAAACAACAGCGCGAGUCGUCGCUGCGCGAGAACCUGUGCGUCGCUCCUCAGUGUCGAUCCGGUGCUUUAUUUAUCCACUACAUUUUCUUCUUAUCCAUGAACUGUGCAAACUUAUUACUGGAACAUUAAAGUUUGAACAACAGUUCUUUCCCUAAUGACCGGCACUUAUCCAGCCGAUAAACAUGAUCAACCGUACCUUAAUAAUAAUAAUGCACAUGCUUUCUGACCUUAUUGUUUGUUGACAUUUCAUAUAGGACUAGUUACUUUACAGGAUGAAAGAUUAAUUUCGACUGAAGCCAAUUUUUAUUCAUCAACUAACAAAAACAACUAUGCAAUGUGUCACAGAGCAUCAAACCACUCCAUCUGUACAUGUUCACACGCAAAAUAUCACGUGUCAGCGUUCAUAUUUAGCAUAUGCAAGUCAUCAUAGAGUGAAACUGUCCUGUUGCAUUGAAUAUUUCACAUUUAAAAGCCUUUUUUUUCUUAACCCAUCAAAAUGUUGUUGUGUACAGUUAUGUUUGAUGUGACUUAAUCUGUUGUUUUGUUUUGUAUCUGGGCAUUGCAAUGUUUAUAUAUACAUACAUAUAUAUAUAUAUAUAUAUAUAUAUAUUCCUGUUGAGAACUUUUGCUGCUUUAUGUAAUUUCUUUGACACUCACAUGACAUAAAAAUCAUGCAUUUGUUUUAAUGUUGGAAAAAUAGUUGUGAAAAACUACUUGCUUGACCUUCAAGAUCAGCUUUUUUUUCAUGUUGAAUCAUUCCACCUUCGUCAGGUGCCAUCAUCCUCAUCAUCAUCAUUACGCUUUCAUUCACACGUGGGUCUUCUGAAGGCAUUAACUUAUGAUGUGGGCCUUCAGUGCAACAAAAAUAGCUUAUUAAACAGUUGCUUUUCAUAGAAGAUAUUUAUUCAGAGAUUCUGAUCUUCUGGUCCGGCAUGUUAGUCGAGUGACAAAUGCUUCCACAAUGACUGCUUUUGAUACCCAGAGUGUGAGGAAACUGUAAAGAUCUGUAUUUUUAAAGAAUGUAUAAUGUGAAAUUUUUUCUCAUAUGCUUGUUUUGUAUAAAGUAUUAUGGCAAAGUAAUAACUUUUUGAAUCAAAAAGCAAUACAAUACCAGUAAAACCCUG